UCAUAGGUUAAGCCAUGCAUGUGGAAGCGAAGCCUUUUAAGGUGGAGCGGCGUACGGCUCAGUAACGGGCGAUCAAUUUGAUCUGCCUAUACGGACAUCCUCUGUAAACGGAGGGUAAAACGUAAGGGGGGCUUCCUAGSGGAAGUUCGCCAAACCUGUAAAGGUGAGGCAGAGUAAGAAGCCAUCCCAUCAGUUAUUAAGUAGGGUAAGGGCCUACUUASACGAAGACGGGUACGGGGAAUUAUCGUUUGAUUCCGGAGAGGGAGCCUGAGAGACGGCUACCGGGUCCAAGGACAACAGCAGGCGCGAAAAUUACCGCAGCCUGCGAUCAGGGCGGUAGUAAGGAGACGUGAUGACGAAGUGCUGAUAAAAGCUGCACUAGUGACAGGAGGAAAAGACUGGUGCCAGCACCCGCGGUAAUACCAGCUCCUGGAGUGUCUAUGAUGAUUGCUGCAGUUAAAGAGUUCGUAGCCGAGGCAUUAUUAACAGCGUUAAAGGGGAUAUCUCAAUUAUCCCUGUGCGCAGUGAUUUUGCAGAAUAAGGAGUGCUUAGGGGCUAGAGUAUCAUACGGCGACUGGUGAAAUGGGAUGACCCGUGUGGGAGU
rnacentral:rRNA from 1 species